AACGAACGCUGGCGGCAGGCUUAACACAUGCAAGUCGAACGCCCCGCAAGGGGAGUGGCAGACGGGUGAGUAACGCGUGGGAACAUACCCUUUUCUACGGAAUAGCUCUGGGAAACUGGAAUUAAUACCGUAUACGCCCUACGGGGGAAAGAUUUAUCGGGGAAGGAUUGGCCCGCGUUGGAUUAGCUAGUUGGUGGGGUAAAGGCCUACCAAGGCGACGAUCCAUAGCUGGUCUGAGAGGAUGAUCAGCCACAUUGGGACUGAGACACGGCCCAAACUCCUACGGGAGGCAGCAGUGGGGAACAUUGGACAAUGGGCGCAAGCCUGAUCCAGCCAUGCCGCGUGAGUGAUGAAGGCCUUAGGGUUGUAAAGCUCUUUCACCGAUGAAGAUAAUGACGGUAGUCGGAGAAGAAGCCCCGGCUAACUUCGUG
rnacentral:rRNA from 1 species